AGCCAAAUAAUAUGAUUGAAAGAUGGACGAGGAAUGGACGACCAAGAAGAAAAAAUGGAGAACAAGACAUACAGAAGUCUCAAAUUGUUUACAUUGGAUAUCAUACAGAAUUGAAUGAAUCCUUGUUCCGAGCUUAUCUAUCCUACCUUGUAUGAUAGAUAUUACAGUUUUAAAUCCAGGAGAACCAGCUUGUUUCCUGGACUCCUGUCAUGAACAGCAGCUGUUUGAACAGUACAUGGAGAACCCCCACCUCGUCCUAUUUAUACAUUAAAUAAACAGUUAUUGCAUUUGCA